CUACGGGGGGCUGCAGUGGGGAAUAUUGGACAAUGGGGGAAACCCUGAUCCAGCAAUGCCGCGUGUGUGAAGAAGGCCUGCGGGUUGUAAAGCACUUUCGGUUGGGAGGACUGCUUCUAGCACUAAUAUUGUUGGAAGUUGACGUUACCUUCAGAAGAAGCACCGGCUAACUCCGUGCCAGCAGCCGCGGUAAUACGGAGGGUGCAGGCGUUAAUCGGAAUAACUGGGCGUAAAGCGCGCGUAGGCGGCUAGAUCAGUCGGGUGUGAAAGCCCCGGGCUUAACCUGGAACUGCAUCCGAUACUGUCUAGCUUGAGUACAGGAGAGGAGAGUGGAAUUCCACAUGUAGCGGUGAAAUGCGUAGAUAUGUGGAGGAACACCAAUGGCGAAGGCAACUCUCUGGCCUGAUACUGACGCUGAGGUGCGAAAGCGUGGGGAGCAAACAGGAUUAGAUACCCUAGUAGUC
rnacentral:rRNA from 1 species